GCGGCCGUCGUAUAACGGCUAGUAUUUGGGACUGUGGAUCCCGAGACGGGAGUUCGAUUCGCAUCUUUGACAAAGCUGCACCAAAGGGCGGACGUAAGUCUCCCCGGCCGCC
rnacentral:tRNA from 1 species